rnacentral:rRNA from 1 species
GUUAUAACCGGCGAUACCCGAAUGGGGAAACCCAGUGUGAUUCGUCACACUAUCAUUAACUGAAUCCAUAGGUUAAUGAGGCGAACCGGGGGAACUGAAACAUCUAAGUACCCCGAGGAAAAGAAAUCAACCGAGAUUCCCCCAGUAGCGGCGAGCGAACGGGGAGGAGCCCAGAGCCUGAAUCAGCAUGUGUGUUAGUGGAAGCGUCUGGAAAGGCGCGCGAUACAGGGUGACAGCCCCGUACACAAAAGCGCAUGUGCUGUGAGCUCGAUGAGUAGGGCGGGACACGUGGUAUCCUGUCUGAAUAUGGGGGGACCAUCCUCCAAGGCUAAAUACUCCUGACUGACCGAUAGUGAACCAGUACCGUGAGGGAAAGGCGAAAAGAACCCCGGCGAGGGGAGUGAAAAAGAACCUGAAACCGU